CAGCCCUUCUGCUGAUGCGCGCGCGCUGGCGCCUUUUAAAGGCAACCGGCGGAGUGGCGGCUCCGCUAGAGGCCGGGAGCUGCCCCCGCCCCCGAGCCGCGAGCCCGGCGCGGAGCCUGGGCCCGGGAAGCCCCCCGUGCCAUAUACCCCACCCCCAUUUUAGCGCCCUCCACUCACUUUAGGGAAAUUUCAUCCAUGAGAAAGGAGGUCCUGCCCUUGCCCCUCGUCCCCCUCCUCCCUCCAACAGGGGAGAUUCUUCUUCCAUAGGAGCCUUGGAAGGAAACAAGAUGCCAGGCCUAGCGCGUUUGGGGAUCCUCUCUGGACAAGGCCACAGAGUGAAAACAUCAGGACAGUCCAGACCUAGAUGGGCUUUCCGGACAGUUAAUCACUCCAGACAAGCUUCUGGAUCCCAUGGACUCUAUGGCCAACCAACUAGGUUGCUACUUGCAAAUGUCUGCUUCCAUCGAAAGCUUCCUACAGGUCACCAGCUCUCUGGAAUUUUCUGGGACCAAACCUUUUCCAGACUGCUUACAAGCACCAGCUAGUUUCUGGAUGGACGUAUGGCUUAACGGUUCUGGCAGAGCUCCCCAGAGCCAUGUGGACCCAGCUUUUUGGAUUCCCCUGCCCAAUACUAAUGAUGCCUGCACUCUCCCUGUAACAAUCACAAGGGUGUUUGACCAGAACUCAUUGAAGACUUCUGUGAAGUACUUGACCAUGCCCAAGGUGAUGUAUAGAUUCCUGACGUCUCUGGGCCCCUACUCUGGACCAGGGCUGGGGACCCAAAGGUGGAUCCAACCCAGCCUGGCUGUGAGCACCAAGCCUGGCAAAGGAGAGAGGUUCCUGCUCUGGAGAAGUUAGCCCUGGAAUCUUGAAUGGCUUUUCCUAGGGGUAUCCAUUGCCAGAGCCAAGCCUUUAAAUGAACACAAGUGGAAACUGAGGCAUCCCUCCAGGAGACAUUAUUUGCCAAGCUCACACAGCAAGUCAGUACAUUGUUGAGACUGGUUCCCAGAACACCGCCUCCUGGCCUGGUCUCUUUCUCUGCCUCUUGGUCCCAGAGGCCAGCCUUUACAAGGCACACAAAGGUCACUGCACUGUGAGCCAGGAACCUGGUUCAGGGUCCACUUCUACUAAACGAUGGCUGUGUCACUUGGAUCACUCAAUUCUCUGUACUAGGUCUCAGUCACCCAAGGCGGAUGACUAAGGGGCCCCCCACUCCAACUGUGAGUCUGGGAUUCUCUGAAAUGUGGUAUUUUUCCAGGCUGUGGAGUCCCUCUAUGGCAGUCUGUGGGACACUGCUGGGGUGUUUUCCUCCAGGCUGAAGCUAAGGAGGAGUAUAAAGAGACAGUACUUGCUUCAGCCGCGGGCUGUGCAGACCUCUCCGAGGAUGACCUGGGGUCUGUCUUACACACCUUGGAGCCCUGCGGAUCUCUCCAGUGGUAAGUCCCCUCAUGCACUUGGCACAGAACUGUGAGAAUGGCCUCUGAUGGUGCUUGCUUCCAUCAAUGUUCACACAGGCCAGGUCUCCAAGGCCCAAGGCGGCCCUGCUUGUCCAGGGCUAAGGACUUCAUCCUCUGGGAGACUUCAAGCCCACCCAGAACCUAGUACUAGGCACGUGGGCUCUUCCUACCUCACACUGGGCCUCAGAGAGGCAACAUUCAACCUCCAAAGCCUGAGAGGCACUGGCCAGCUGGGUCUUGGACCCAGAGAUGCUCAAAAUGCCAGAGAGGGGAGGUCCCUUCCAGGCCAAGUGGUCCAACCCACUACCACUGACAUUUUGCAAUCAGGGAAACUGAGCCCAGAGAGGGGAAGGAGCUUGCAUAACACCCAAGUAGGCUGGUAGUGGCAGGGUUACAACCAGAAUCUUUGUCUUCUGCCCAGGGCUCUCCCCUGCAUCAAACACAAUCCACUGAGAUCUAGGCUGAGCCCACCUCCAAUCCUCCAGAACCUUGACAAUCCUUGACAGAAGGCUCCUUCAGCUCAUCCCCUGUCUAUUCUAGGUGAUUCGAGAGAUUUCCCUUCAGCUGGAUGGUCCUUUAUCCUAAAGCUUCCUGGUGUUCCCUCCCCAUCUGCUCAGGGUUAAUCUUUUCCUGCUUCCAGGAUCUGCUCCAUCAAUAGGCCAUAACUGCCGCUCCUGUUUUCUUGCUGUGGUCCAACCAACUCCUUGCAGCUCUAGCAUUUCCAAGGAUGGGGAGUCUCUGGUUGCUCCUAGGGUUUCCCUUCUGUCACUGGCCAGUCCCAGGUCUACUACUUUCCCACGACCACCUCAGCCUUGAACCCCAUCAGUCUCUCCUGGGAUGCUGCGGACCAUUCCUUGCAGACUCCCUCUCUGCUGGACCCAGGGCCAGUGGGAAUGAUAAGAGCUCACGUGUGGGGUUGCCAUGAGGUUUUAGUGAGUUAAUGCCCGCAUUAGGUAUAUAAGGUGCAUCUGUGAACUCUCAUGUCGCAAGGUAUGUUCAGGUGAUAAGAAGGAGAUCCUUGAAGCUAGCGCCUAUGGUGGCCUAGGCACCUGGGGGCAGAAGAGGGAAGGUGGCCGGGAGGAAUCUGGGGUAGCUGGGAGUGAUAGAAACCAGGAGUGUUUUAAGUUGGGGAAGAAGUUGGUUAGGUUGGCUUCUAGAAAAACAGCAAGGAGAGCUGAGUUGCUGAGCACUGAAAGGGCUCACUGGGCCUCCCUGCCUGGACUUGCUGAGUACCAUGGGAGCCGGUGGUACCCGGGAAGGACCACACUGGGCCCAGGGCCAGAGCCCUCAGGAUGAUUUUGUGUGUGUCCCUCAACCUUCCCAGCCCCCCGUGUCCUUUUCUUUGGAACCGCUGCAGCCCCUAGCCCAGCCCAGCCCAUCUGGUGCUCUCGGACCAAGCUGGGCCAAGGCUACAGAAAGCCAGUGGGUGCCUGGGUCCUGUCAUUCCACAACGACAGAGCAUGUGCUGUCUCCCAAAGCAGCUCAUGCCAUCUCUUCAGAGGCUUGUUCAAAAUUAUAUUUUUCAUAAAGGUGAAGUAAUGGUGGCCGACAGUCCGUCAUUCAACGUUGAUCGUGCUCCCUUCAUGCGGCGGGCAUUGUUCCAGGUGCUUUAAUGAUUUAACUCAUUUAACUUUCCAUCAAGCCUUUGAUGCAGGAGCUAUUAUUCUCCUCACAUCCCUGUUUAACAGAUGGGUAAACUGAAGCAUGAGAGGUUAAGCCAUUUGCCCAAUGUGAAGGAGCCAGGACUCCACAUGGAAGUCUCACCCCAGAGCCCCUCGCUGGAUGCCCACCCUCUCCUGCCUCUCUGAGCCCCAGGAUCCCUCCCACUCACCUGCAUUCCCACAAAGAAGUUACUGGCUUUCCCCACACACCCGUCUGCUCUCCCCGAUGGGCCCCCUCUUGGUCCUGCCCGUACACAGGAGCCAAGCCUCCUGGUCAAGGUGGGGGCUCAGCUGCCGUUAGCAGAGGCUGCCCCCUCUUCACCCGCACUCCGCACACCUGUUAACACAGCCUCAGGCUGUGAGGGCUUCUCACAUUAUGCAGCUCCCCAUCCCUGUAAAGGGUCUCAUUUCCGCACUCCUCUGUCUACCCCACCCCACACAGCACAGCUCGACGGGCCAGUCACUAGACAUCCAGCAACUCGGCUCAAUUACACGUCCUUAGGGAGACCACCCUGGACUCCCCGGGCUCAGUCAGUCCUCGUUUGGCUCUUCCUACACGCCUUGCCUCGCUUCUUUGCAGCAAUCAUUUCACAUCCGUGGCUUAAAUGGCUUGAUGGUGUUUCUUGCUUUCUCACCAGCCUGGAUGCUCCAUGAAGUUAACGCCAGGCCUGUGUUUCCACACAUUGCAUCACCAGUGCCUAGCACAGAGCCUGGCACAAACUCAGUGCUCGGAUGUGUGUGCAUGAAUGAAAUACAUAUCUGAGGCCCUGCUCUGAGCCGGGUCCUAGGCUAGAUGCCGAGAAUGUGGAGACCAGAUUGCACCAGAGAUGCUGGUGAGGAGACAGCCAAGUAAACCAGCAAUGACAACGUAGGAUGAGGAAAUGCAGGAAGCUGUGGGGGCACUGAGAAAGGGUCCCAGACCCAACUAGGAGGACAGUAGGGCCAAGAGGAAUUCACCGGUGGGAGGGAGUGGGGGUGGGAGGGGUGGAGGACUCUGAAACUGGGCCGAACUAGUAAAUGAAGGGUGGAGGGUCUGUCUCUUCCUCCAGACCUCCUUGCCCCAAGGGCAAGGCCAGAGUCCUGAACUCCUGUCUACCACUUGAGGCUUACAGGAGUGUUGGGUCUCUGCUGUGCAUUCAUAGAGCAUUUUAGGUGAUUGAUUUUCCUCCCCUCCUUAGAACACGGGUGGUCUGAUGCGCUCUUCAUUGUAUUAGUUGUGCCCUCCUCUCCCAGCCCUGCCUCCAGGUCCUUGCCCAAAGCAGCCUCAUCUUUUCCCACCUGGCUACACUCUCCCCUCCCCACCCACUCCACGGCUCCGUGUCCCUCACCUUCACGGUUCAGCCCACUCACCCAGCUCUGACCGUCUCAACGUGUGGGUGCCGGCAUGUACCCUCUUCACAUGAGAUUUGUUGAUUUCAUAACCAUAAAUAGAUAAAAUGUUCUGAAUAUCUCCCUGUGCAAGUAGAUUGGGGGAGUGAUCACAUAAUGAAAAGGCCUUGGGAGAAAGAAAACAGGCUGCUAAAGACGCAGCUGAAGACUAGACAGCCACUGCACAGACCAGCUCUAUACAGCGAUUAUACUUUGACUCCACAGACUGGUGAACCCUAGGCCUGGGACUGGGGUGAUACUUGGGAAUCUGUUAGAGAACUUUUAUGUGGUUUCAAGCUCAUGGAUUCAAAAGAACACUCUGGUAAAAAAAUAAUAAUAAUAAUAAAAUGGAAAGAAAUAGAAAUCGGGGAACCUGGUUUCUGAUUCUGGAAUUAUUUCAUUCUAGCUGUGACCCUGGAUAACUUAAUAAACCUCUCUGAGAAGGUGCA